UACGAAGGGGGCUAGCGUUGCUCGGAAUCACUGGGCGUAAAGGGUGCGUAGGCGGGUCUUUAAGUCAGGGGUGAAAUCCUGGAGCUCAACUCCAGAACUGCCUUUGAUACUGAGGAUCUUGAGUUCGGGAGAGGUGAGUGGAACUGCGAGUGUAGAGGUGAAAUUCGUAGAUAUUCGCAAGAACACCAGUGGCGAAGGCGGCUCACUGGCCCGAUACUGACGCUGAGGCACGAAAGCGUGGGUAUCAAACAGG
rnacentral:rRNA from 1 species